rnacentral:rRNA from 1 species
UAUGUGAUCGUCUCUCGCAUAUCAAUAAGCGGAGGAAAAGAAACUAACAAGGAUUCCCCUAGUAACGGCGAGUGAAGCGGGAAGAGCUCAAAUUUGAAAUCUUAAAGGGUUUCCCUUUACGAAUUGUAGUUUAAAGAAGUGUUUUCUGUUGAGGUUUUGGUAAAAGUUCUUUGGAAUAGGACAUCAUAGAGGGUGAGAAUCCCGUAUUUGACCUUUACUUUCAACUUUGUGAUACACUUUCAAAGAGUCGGAUUGUUUGGGAAUGCAGUCCAAAAUGGGUGGUAAAUUUCAUCUAAAGCUAAAUAUUGGCGAGAGACCGAUAGCGAACAAGUACCGUGAGGGAAAGAUGAAAAGAACUUUGAAAAGAGAGUUAAACAGUACGUGAAAUUGUCAAAAGGGAAGCGUUUGACACCAGUGUUGUUUUUCUGAAAAUCAAUUAAAGAACUGUUUAUGCUAAGUUGUUUAGACUUUAUCAGCUAUCUGUUUAGUUCUAGGCUUUUCUUUAAUGCACUUUUCAGUUAACAAGUCAACAUCAAUUUCUUUUGCUGUAAAAAAGCUUGAGGAAGGUGGCUUGAGAUUCGUCUUAAGUGUUUAUAGCCUCUUGCCUAUGCAGUCGGAGAGAUUGAGGUCUGCAGCGUAGAUCCUUCGGGGCUAAAUGCAUUUGUGCUAAGUUAUAGCAUUUUAUAGACAACUUGUUGACUAUGAUUUGUCUUGUAGCUUACUCGCUUAUGUUAUUUUACCUACGCUUAGGAUGUUGAUCUACAGAGCGAGAGU